GGAGGCAGCUCCAGCACAAGGGGCCAAAGCUGAGGGUGUCCCUCUCAGAUGGGCUUGAGAUGGCAGCCAGCCCAAGGGGGUUCUGUGGUGGAGCUCAGACAAAGUAAGGGGGAAGGCAGCUCCAGCACAGGGGGAACAGUUGAGGGGUGUCCCCCUCAGGUGGGCUCAAGAUGGCGACCGACCCAAAGGGGUUCUGUGGUGGAGCUCAGAUGAAGCGAGGGGGGAGGCAGCUUCCAGCACAGAGGUGCUGGGGCACAGUCGAGGGGCGCAUGGCAGUGAUCACAAAAGGCUCCUCAGGGUUUUGAUGGAGGUUUGAGGGAAGGUGCCUCGCUUUUUAGCUCCAUAGUUACACUGCCAUCUAACUGAACCACCAUAUGGGGAGUGAUGAGAGCCCCUGUGCCCUCUGGAGGCUCUGUACAGCACCUCUGCAUGGUCUGCGGCUCUGGUCACAAAACAGACCUGCCUUCACUCUUUUGCUUUAGGUGGAAAGAGACCCAAAGGUGGGGUUUGGAUCCCAGUCCUCUGACUACAUGUUUCAAACCCUCUCCGAGAGCCAUAAAGCAUGGCUCUCUUGUCAGCAGCUCCAGUGCACAGGGCAGCAUGAAUAAAGCAGACUACUGCAAGUGCAAGAUGGUGAAAGGUGCUGAAGAUGUGGAAGAUGGUCGGCAGAGACAGAGAAGACUGAGCAUGGGAUGACAAACGUCAAAGUUAGGAAGAAGCUGUGGCAAGACUUGAGCAUUUGUGACCAUUUUACCUCUUCCUCCCACAUGACACACACAUCUGAGGCUUUGGGGACAACAAAACUGUAAGAAAAAGACAGAGCGCUGGACAGAAUGGUGCACAGAAUCCUCCUGCAAUACCAAGAGAAAGGACAGUGAGGAUCCUACCUAACACAGCUGCACACUGACAGUUCAGAAAAACAAAGCGUGAAGUGACAUAAAACAAGAACAGUGGCAUGCUCCAAGCCUGCAGCCAAGUCAAGUGACUUGACCCCUGCAGGACUCCCAUGGUCAGAGGACAAAUGCAGGAAUGACGGAGACAAGGCUAAAAAUGCUGAGAGUUUUGUCAGACUUCACGCAGUACUACUGGAAUUAACUUCAGUCUUCAAACAGCACUUCAGACCUGGAAUUUUUGUUAUCAGAGAUACCUCAUACAACUUCUCAGAUGGAAAACACAUCUGCAAACUGAGACUAGCAAAAAAGGGCAUCCAUUACAGGAAUGAAAAGCAUUUACAAGAAGUGAGACAAUUAAAUGUUAUUCAGCAUCACUCUGUAAUUCCAGACAUGGAUGUGGCAGGGAAUGACAGGACUACCUAUUUCUAGGAAAAUCAACGGUCAUUAUAUAUACAAUUUUAUUCUCAAGGGCUGUCUUUUUUGAGUUCCGCUAUUCUCUUAGAAUAUUUUGUAAUAAAUGAAAAUAUAGGGUGAGCAAAUUGUGACAAAUUGUUGAUGAUGAUGUUCUGUAACAUACAAAAUAUGCAGGAAUAAACAUAAAAUCAAGAACCACCUCAAAUGUUUUCAUUUCAUUACUGCUUUAUACAACAGGGUCACAUAUAGAGAGGCUUACAAUCGAUGCUGAAACUUCCUGAAGUGAUGAAGAAGCAUGUCAGCAACAAAACAUAGUGUUAGCAAUCCCUGCUUUAGCACAUACCUGAGAGCCUGCCGUUCUCCUCGCGCUUUCCAUGGAAGUCUUCAGCCUGAUGAGGGUGCUGUUCAUCACAGUGAGACCUCAACACUGCCUCCAUCACACAACAAACCUGAAGUGAAAAACCCAAGACUGUGAGGACCACGCUGGGACACCCUGGGAAGCCAGCACAGCAGCAGAUCAGGUUGCUUUGAAAGGCAAAGAACUGAGGCACACAGAAAUAGCUGCACUGCGUUCCGCAACAUACAAAGCCAGACAUCCUGAAAGAACUGUAAGAGAAAAACAAAAUUAUCUUCUCAACAUGAGAGAUUUCCCUCUUCUAGGCAAGAUUAACAAAGGGGCAUAAUUAGGUGUCAUUCUCCCCACUAACAAGAAAUCAUAGAAUAUGCUUAUUUUGAACUGCUUCUUUCCAAAUCUUGGAAACACUGUAAUAAAACUGUAAAUUAGUAAAGUGUACUCAUACUGUACAAUCAAAAACCAUUGAUAAUCCUAUUUCAUUAAGAAAAGAAAGGCAGAGAGCCUCAGGGCAGGAUAACGGGUGAUUGGUAUGCCUGGAAGCACCACCUCUCACAGCUGCCCAGCCUUGGUUCCAUCCAAAGACCUUCCUUGCUUGCCACUUGGCCAAACCUUCCAAGUUCUGGCUGAACUUUUCCACAAGGGGGAAACAUAUCCUGAAAAACUUCAAAUCAAAGGAUUCAUCUGUUUGAGCUAUGGAGCUAGAAAUGUAUUUUAUCCCCGAAGAA